GACGAACGCUGGCGGCGUGCUUAACACAUGCAAGUCGAACGGAAAGGCCCUGCUUUUGUGGGGUGCUCGAGUGGCGAACGGGUGAGUAACACGUGAGUAACCUGCCCUUGACUUUGGGAUAACUUCAGGAAACUGGGGCUAAUACCGGAUAGGAGCUCCUGCUGCAUGGUGGGGGUUGGAAAGUUUCGGCGGUUGGGGAUGGACUCGCGGCUUAUCAGCUUGUUGGUGGGGUAGUGGCUUACCAAGGCUUUGACGGGUAGCCGGCCUGAGAGGGUGACCGGCCACAUUGGGACCGAGAUACGGCCCAGACUCCUACGGGAGGCAGCAGUGGGGAAUAUUGCACAAUGGGCGGAAGCCUGAUGCAGCAACGCCGCGUGCGGGAUGACGGCCUUCGGGUUGUAAACCGCUUUCGCCUGUGACGAAGCGUGAGUGACGGUAAUGGGUAAAGAAGCACCGGCUAACUACGUGCCAGCAGCCGCGGUGAUACGUAGGGUGCGAGCGUUGUCCGGAUUUAUUGGGCGUAAAGGGCUCGUAGGUGGUUGAUCGCGUCGGAAGUGUAGUCUUGGGGCUUAACCCUGAGCGUGCUUUCGAUACGGGUUGACUUGAGGAAGGUAGGGGAGAAUGGAAUUCCUGGUGGAGCGGUGGAAUGCGCAGAUAUCAGGAGGAACACCAGUGGCGAAGGCGGUUCUCUGGGCCUUUCCUGACGCUGAGGAGCGAAAGCGUGGGGAGCGAACAGGCUUAGAUACCCUGGUAGUCCACGCUGUAAACGGUGGGUACUAGGUGUGGGGUCCAUUCCACGGGUUCCGUGCCGUAGCUAACGCUUUAAGUACCCCGCCUGGGGAGUACGGCCGCAAGGCUAAAACUCAAAGGAAUUGACGGGGCCCCGCACAAGCGGCGGAGCAUGCGGAUUAAUUCGAUGCAACGCGUAGAACCUUACCUGGGUUUGACAUGGAUCGGGAGUGCUCAGAGAUGGGUGUGCCUCUUUUGGGGUCGGUUCACAGGUGGUGCAUGGCUGUCGUCAGCUCGUGUCGUGAGAUGUUGGGUUAAGUCCCGCAACGAGCGCAACCCUUGUUCACUGUUGCCAGCACGUUAUGGUGGGGACUCAGUGGAGACCGCCGGGGUCAACUCGGAGGAAGGUGGGGAUGACGUCAAGUCAUCAUGCCCCUUAUGUCCAGGGCUUCACGCAUGCUACAAUGGCUGGUACAGAGAGUGGCGAGCCUGUGAGGGUGAGCGAAUCUCGGAAAGCCGGUCUCAGUUCGGAUUGGGGUCUGCAACUCGACCUCAUGAAGUCGGAGUCGCUAGUAAUCGCAGAUCAGCAACGCUGCGGUGAAUACGUUCCCGGG
rnacentral:rRNA from 1 species